GUCACUUUAGCGAAGUGGCCUAACGCGCUCCCCUGCUACAUGUACCUCUGGGUACUAAACGCAAACAAGGGAGUCCCUUCGGGGGCGCAGGUUCGAAUCCUGCAGGUGACU